CUCAGACGGUUGGCUUGGUUGACCACCGCUUCCGGGAAGAAUUCACAUGUGGGAUAUGCAGCAAUACCCUGUGACCAUACCUUGUCCACAAGGGAGGGAGCAUUGAUGGCGGUCGACCACAAGGUGGAGCCAAACCUCUGCCGAGCUCUCCCGGAGUCCCCUGAGUCAGGUCCAUCAACAAUCCAGGCUGGGGAGUGAUUGUUAUUGUAAGAGCCAGCUGGGACAUUGUGACACUCUGCAGACUCAUUAAUGGUUUUAAAGGAUCCUGCGAAUAGGAGCAUGCUGCCUGGGUGUGUACCAACGUGCCAGGUACCGAGAGGAAGUAGGAAUGUGACUUAUUGCUCCCUCUUCUACAAUCUGGCUGUGAUGAAGUGACAUGGCUUCCACACAUGUUCACCCCCCCAAUGUGGAUCUACUUCCACUUCUCUCUUGCAAAUACCUGAAACAUGUUUACUUUCCUCAGCUAGCAUCACCUGUGAGUAACAGCAUGUUUAUGGAGGGAAUGAUUCAUGGGCCAGACCAGGACGGCUAAUCAGUCGCAGGUCUUUCUAGUCCCAAAUAAAGUCAUCAGUCACCGGCUGCUGGCUCAGAGGUCACGGAAUCACAGAAUCAAUCAAAGUAUACUCAUAGAGCUGUAAAUCAGCAGUGUCUCAAAGGGCUGCUCACACAGAACGUGAGGGGACGUACGCUGCUGGGCCAGAGGUCACAGAACCACAGGAAGUGAGGUGGAAGCACAUCUGCUCAGCGCUGGUUCGGCAGGAAAUAGGAAGAAGAAGAGGUUUCUCAGAUCCACUUCCAAGUGGUUCCGCCCGUGGUGUCCAUGGUUUCCUCUGCGUGAUGUCUGUGGUCUGCAUGUGGAUGUUGGGAGGACGCACAAACUAAACCAAAACCACAACAUCACGCCCAACACA